rnacentral:rRNA from 1 species
UACGAAGGGGGCUAGCGUUGUUCGGAAUCACUGGGCGUAAAGCGCACGCAGGCGGAUUGAUAAGUCAGGGGUGAAAUCCCGGAGCUCAACUUCGGAAUUGCCUUUGAUACUGUUAAUCUCGAGUCCGGGAGAGGUGAGUGGAAUUCCUAGUGUAGAGGUGAAAUUCGUAGAUAUUAGGAAGAACACCAGUGGCGAAGGCGGCUCACUGGCCCGGUACUGACGCUCAUGUGCGAAAGCGUGGGGAGCAAACAGG